rnacentral:ncRNA from 1 species
AUGGAGGGAAAUAAGGAAGGGAGGAAGGGGAAGGUGAAAGAAGGAAGGAGGGUGAAAGAAGGAAGGAGUGCAGGUAGCAAAUCUGUAGAUAUUAUACAUAUAUUUGCAAGUUAUGUGCAAACUCAUUUGACUAAAUAAAUUACAUUGAUGGGUUGUCAUGAUCUAGGGAAAUGGAUGCUCAUUGGAAGUAAUGGAGGUAGCAGGGAUAGUAGGCAGGGAAUAAAAGGGAAUUUGGUAAUCAUGCUGCACAAUCUUAUCUGCCAACAAAAUCAACCAGCUUUACCUAGGUGGACAGGCCACUGUACUUAGCCCGGAAAAGAAAUGUGUCAUUUAUGUGUGAUCAAUAAAUAGCCAAAUGCCUCCUCAAAUGCACAGUGAUGUGCAUGAACGGAUGAAUGAGAUUCCCACUGUCCCUACUUACUAUUCCAGCAAAACCACAGCCAAGAGAACAGGUUUGGUAGAAUUGCCAGGGAAAGAAGACCCUGUUGAGCUUGACUAGUCUGGCGCUGUGAAGAGACAUCAGAGGUGUAGAAUAAAUGGGAAGCCCCACAGUUGUGCAACACAGGCCAUGGUCCAGUUGCCGGUGAAAUACUGCUGAUCAUUUUUUCCAGUUACCAAUGAGGUGUUGAGGGUGUGAGCCCCAAAGGGCUCUCACUUUUGAUGCCAAGUGCCUGGUAUGACCUGCUCCAGGGACAGUGUCCAUGAGCAGUUUGAUUGGGGCAGCACACCACCAAACCAUAACACAGGUGUCCUAAGCCGAGCUCAGGGAGGACAGAAACCUCCCACGGAGCAGAAGAUUCAAGGCUUGAUCUUGAUUUUCAGUACAAAUAUCGUCCAUGAAAGUAAGACCUUAAAUCCUUCUGACUUUUUGGGUUUCAAGCAGGCAUCCAGGAGCCAGUGGAUGAGGAAUUCCAGGCAUGAGUCUCCGCAUGAGGAACCUAGGGACGUAGGAUGUUCUGCUCUGUCCCCCAACAACCCCAG